rnacentral:tRNA from 1 species
GGGGUUGUGGCUCAGUGGUAGAGUACUCACCUAGCACAUGCCGGGCCCUGGGUUUGAUCCUCAGCACCACA